GCAUUUUGUCUUAGAAUUUCUAGUUGUUGUGAUAAGGAGAAGUUUUAGAUAACUUAGUAGAUUGAAUAUUAAGAUAGUUGUAGAAGCAAAAAUAAGAUUUGCUCGUCCUGUAACUCUCAUUGCUUAAGGUAAUCUGACUCUUUAACUAGUAACUUCAUUAACCUAACAGAGUUGCAAUGGGUGGCUGAAUUUACAAUGUAUAUGUGCCUAUCUUGUGUCUGUGACUUGUAAAUAGGAACUGGAAUUGUAUUUACACAUCAAAGACCACUAGGGAUGAGAUAAUGGCUAAAAAGGAUAUAAAAAGGUCCCACCCACUUGCAAGUAGAACUUUUAUUAUUUUAUCCGAAUUCUGUGUCUCCAUGUAUUUCUUUCUGAGAUUUCUGAAAUAUUUGGUUCCCUGACCGGGAAUCGGGAAUGAAAUAUCCCUUUUGAGCAUUAGCCUGAAUCCCACUGGAGGGAGUGGCUCUCCAUCUCCUCAAGAGGAAAGGCACACCCCUGGGACUAAUUUCCUAGGCUCCCCAACAGGACACACUUCCUGGCUGAGAUCACCCGAACCCAGGACGACAGAAGGAGGGCUGCUGCUGUUGGUGUCUCAUCUGUCUCUUUCCUUUGCUGGAUGGGAGCAGCUUCGUGGAAGAUGGAGUUUGUCAUGCUGGAUAUGAGGUAACCACAAAGAAUGAGGUGAUCCUAGCCGGAGCCCCUUCCUAGUUGGCACAGCAUGCUGAGCUCUGGGCACUCAUACAGGCACUCCGAUGGGCAAAGGGUAAAAAGGCUUAAACACAUGAUGGAAAAUGUUUCGUGAAAUUCGUUUCUCAAGGCCGUCUCUAAGGCUUACAUCGAACCCAAAUCGACUGCAAGUGACUUACUGAACAUUAACACCCACCAAGGCGUUCCUCAUUUCAUCCUACAGAAUGUCACUCAUUCCCAUGGGGUCCCUGAGCAGCUUUGACCCUGAACACCACUAUCGGAAAAUCAGAAAGGAAGAUUCAUUACAUUUUAAUCCCUACUUUCAAAACUACGGCCAGGGCAACAGGUUCUGUUUGAUCUCUCAAACUCCUGCACCCUGUCCUUAGGAGGGUCCAUAUGGCUCUGAAUUAGGCCACUAGACUUUGGCGCCUCAAAUACCAAGCGCUUCCUCCUUUUGUAAAGCUGCUUCGGGUAACCUCAUAAACCCAAACGUCACAUGUGAGCUCUGCUCAGCGAUUCCCGAGUCCGAGGCCCCGGCAGGCCGGCAAGAGAGUGUGGGGCGGCGCCGCGCACCUGGCGGUCUGCUGCGAAGCCGUGCACGCCCCGGAACUGGGCUUCGAGGCUCCACUGCCCAGCUGGUCCGCCACCGCGGGCGACGUAGCGUCCCGGCGGCGUCCACCGACCUCAUUCCCGGUGCCACAGCGGAAAUAGGUAAGAGGUCUGCUUUUGGCGCCUGUGGCCCGGAAUACUAUGGAGUUGCCACGGGAACCGAAUGCCGGAGGGCGGGAGUGCAGGCGCCUGUCGCCAUAGCGACGCGGGGCACUUCCGGCCCCUGGAAGCUGGCUGCGGCCUAGGCGGUCUGCACCUCCCACCGCCUCCCGAGCUCUCCGGUCCGCUCCGGCGUGAUGUCCGCCACCUCAGCCUCAUCCCCCGAACCUGCCUCUGCUCCGAAUUGUCUAGUUGUGUCUGUAGCGUAGGGACGUUCUUCACGGAGAUGAUGCAGGAAGCGAGGACAAGACCCAUCAAAAGAUGGGAAGAAAGGCCGAGUUCCGGGGCCCUACCUGUUUAAAACUGUAAAGCUUGCCAGCGGUAUUCAGCGACAAGCAGGGGCCAGCUAGCCCUGCGCUCCCCUUGGUGCACCUCGGAAACCUGUGGUGCUCUGUCCGAACCCCAGAGGAACAGGCUCCGAUAUAAUAACUAUUGACAGUGCCGGCACCGUCUGGGUUGCCUGUCCUGGUAAGACGAGUUAGGCUUGUUUAGGAAAGCAGAGUCCAGGAAGUGAGUAAAGUACAGAAUGGGCCCCUGAAGUUACCAGGGGGUGGGUACGUUUGGCAAACGCCAGAAAGACCUAAAUUAUGCAGCCAUGUUUUUUCGUUUUGUUUUGUUACGGGGGAUUGAACUCGGGACCUUGCGCUUGCGAGGCAGACACGCCAUGUAUUUUUAUAUCACACCCUUCGUGACCUAAAACACACAGUAGUAAUGCACACAACCGCAGGGUAAACUGUGACCAACAACACUGGCGGUUGUGCACCCUUGUAUUUAAGGGUCUUAUACCAUGAACCCUACAACUGAUUGGGCCCGUGAUAAGUCAAGUUGGAGCGGAUAUGUCUCUUUCAAAAUAGAGCACGCUAAGUAGAAAGAGAAAGAAAAUGUUUACUGAGAUCUUGAAAGAUGGAAUUUACAUUCAGUAUUUGUUCUUUCCAACUAUGUAAAAGUUUAUUUGCCAUUGAUCCAAGGCUGCCAAAAAAGCUUUUCUAGGUCAGAAGUAUUUAAAUGAGUUUACUUAAAAAUAUCUCUUAACUAAACCCGGAUGGUCUGUUAACUCAAGGUUUAAAUCUGUACCCUCAAGCUCCACAGCCAAAAAUUUGUAAAUAUUCCACUGUCAGUUCUUUAAAAGAGAAUCUUUAGUAUGGAACAAUGAUAAAACCAAUGAACUCAUUUCCAAGAUGAUAAGGUGGCUUGGGACAAAUCACAUGGAUCUCAGUUUUCUUGAGUAUAUGUUGUGGAGGAUGGGCACAGUAUAGCUAUUUCUUGCCAAAUUUGUAAGACUGUGAGAUGGUCAGCUUUACCAAAGGAAUGACUAAUAUGAUACAGUGCCCAGGAUAUUCGAAUUAACAGUCUUAGCAGUACUUCUGGAUAUACGUACACUCUUAUGGGGACAGGAUGGUGGCUCAGAGAGGUGGUGGAAAUGGAUCACCCACUUUGGAAGUUAGCAAAGAGUUCAUGAAAGAGGUGGUAAAACAGGGUCCUGCAUGAUACACAAAACUCAGUGGUAUGGGUGGUGGUGGCCAUUUGGAAGAUAAGAGCUAAGGUGAAAAAACAAGAGGGCUUGGAGCAUGCUAGUGAUCCUACUGGACUCGACCCCUGAACCUCCCGGUUGCUGCUCAGCAUGAGAACUGCCUGCUCCAGCAUGCCCACGCAUGCAAGUGAUUGAGGGCAGGUCACUGCCUGUGUGCUCUGAGAGCCAAACCCAGCCUCCUGCUCUGCUCUCUCUAUCACAGUCAACCACAUUUCCCAGGCUCUCGUGACCUUUGCAUUGGGGCAGGUCCAGUUGGUGGCAGGCACCACCAGAUGGCCAGGGGGAGGAGCAAGCCAGAGAGCUUCAACCCUGAGCAACAAUUACCCAUGUAAGUGUUGAAAAUCCUUCAUUCUCAAUAGACUUACUCCAACUUUGAAAGCAACUUUAAAAUAAAAACCCUGUGAUUCUAUGAAUGUUAUCAUCAAUGUAGUUACUGAUUUCCUUAUCCCUUCUCAUCAACUGUCACCCCUACUGUGGUUAUAUGCUUCCUUCUACAGCACAAUUUUGCAACAACACAUGUUCGGCUUUCACGUAUAACCUGGUUUCCCUUUUAAAACCUCAGGAAUUAUGCUACCUUAACAUAAUUUAUUUUAAGACAAAAAUCUACCUUUCCUUUAAAUUUUGUUUUGCCCACAAACAUUAUAUACACAAGUGUUUGUAUAUGUUUAUGUGUGUGCAUGCUAGAAAACAAUUAUUCUGGGCUCUAGAAACUGUCUUCAGCCCACCUGUAAUCUAUGGCAAUGUAGGGAGCCUGGGAUAGGAAACAGAGCUCUCACUGUGGAGUGUGCUGCUCCAUGGUUUUCAGUGUGGACUGACCAUUAAAAUCACAGGCUCUGUGUUCAACAAGCCCUCUGCCCAGAUUGUACUCUACACCAAUUCAACCUGGAAUCUCUGCGGGUAGAACAUAGUCUUUUCCAAAAUUGCUCAAGAUGAUUCUAGUGAAAGUCAAGUUGAGAACCAAUGAUGCAGUUUCAGAUGGAGUCCUGCAGUUGGCUAAGAUAAGCUCUUAGAGAAGGGAAGGAACAAUGGCCAUAGUAUUACUGUUUUUCUUUUCAAUGGGGGUUGGCCUCUAUUCAUCCUGUUAUCUGCACCUACACUCUCUUCUUGCCCCAAGCCCAUCCAAGUCCUACUGAUUCCUUCAUUCUUCAAGCCCCAUCACAUCAUACCUUGGGUAGGAAGCAUUUCUUAGCUGUUCUAGUGUCCUACCAGCACUUAGGUCCUAGACACCUUAUGUCAGUAUUUGUAAGUUAACCUUGAAUUAUUCAACAUUUUCACUAGUCUUGCCUUUCUAGCUGAAUGCUAUGCAUCCUGCAGAUAAGGACCACAAUUCCUCCUUCUUUGUAUCUGCUUAUAUUACAGUUUGGAACAUUUAAGACAGAAGUACUUACCAACCAGUAGAUUAUGAAGCACAAACAUUUGGGCAUAUGGUAUUUGCAAGGUAUGAACAAGGUUUAUGUUACCUUCAAAAACUUACGUGUCCCAAAGCACAGGGGAUAUAGCAAUUGUACUGUAUAAUUUAUCAUUCUGUCAAAUAUCAGUGGGUCUAAAUGAAAGACACAGGAUGAUUUUGCAAGGGGGAUGGAGCUACCAUUAUUAUGUAAUGGUUCCACACAAAUUAGUUUGGCAGCCAUUUGUGAGAAGAACUAGAGAAAUCUGAUUAGGUGCCAUGACUUGAUUUCCAAGUCUGCCCUGCUGAUAUCUAGUAUGGAAUACAUCCCUAUUCUAAGAACACAAGAAGGCAGAAUGCACAAGCCACCAAACACAGAAGCCUUUUAUUAUACUGAUUUGCAGAGUUCAAGGAGUACCUCCCCCACUUUACACAGUGUUUAAAAGUCCCACAGAAUCAUCUAAAAAUACUUUUACAAGUCCUUGUUUUCAGAGCCAAAAAGACCAGGUUUCUGAUAUGUGAACUGCAUGAAUGCACAUAAGGCCUAUCCAACACAUGUCCUGGUCCUAGUAGGUAUUUGUUCAAAUAUUACAGUCCCAGCAGUGAUUUUAUUUAGUCUGGCUGUUCCGAAGACAAACACACAUAACUUUAAUUAAAGACACAUCCAAAUGUAGGGGAAACCAUCUUGAAACAAUUAGUCUUUUCUACGUAAGAGGUUUCGGGGCACUGACAUCCUCACCAUCUCCCAUGGAAAGAGACCAGAUGGGGCAGAGGCAAGCCAAGCCCCCUCCAUAAACACAGUCUGGAGCUAUAACUCUGCUCUACUCUAUUUUAUUCUCUUCUGACCAAGACAUCACCUUCUUUUUACUCUUUCCUAAACAAAUGCCAGUCAUUUGAUUUUUACUUUUUUUUAUUAACCUCUCUUUCAUCACUGUUAGGGAAAGAAACAUUUCUAACAUGUUUUCAUAUCUUUUCUCUGAAAGAAAAUAUUCCAGGAAGAAAAUGAAAAGCCUAAGGAAUUACCAAACUACCCAUCUGGUUAUUGACCUUAGGCUUCGGGAGGAUGUGUGAGAGGUGGCUGCCUUUGCUGCCUCAUUCUUGAGACUUCUGUAGGUAGUAGACUGAAAGUUUCUCUAAACUGCUAGAAAAGCUGGGGUGCAGAUUGUGACAUUCAUCAGAAUAGUUCUUUCCCCCCUGAAAGAAUAGUUCUUUCCCUCUGAGUACCCAGUUAAUUUACUCCUAGGUAAUUUACCCAUCAGCAGAAGUGAGUGUUUUCUCCGUAAGAGCCACACUGAAGGGCCGGGGAUUUAGCUCAGUGGUUUUGUCGCCUCCUGUGCAAGUGCAAGGACCCAAGUUUGAUCCCCGGUACCAAAAAAAAGAGCCACACUGAAAAGUCACUUCCAUAAAUAUCCCCCCAAAAACAUACAUAUAUAUGACGUGUUAUAUGACCCUUGUCCUCAAGUAGCCACUCUGUUUUUUCUUUUGAGAUUUGAAUCUGGGAACAAAGGCAUUUCUUAAGUGAAGAGCUGUUGUUCCUUUUCUUUCUUUCUUUCUUUCUUUCUUUCUUUCUUUCUUUCUUUCUUUCUUUCUUUUUUUCUUUCCUUCCUUCCUUUCUUUUUUUUUUGGGGGGGGGUACCAGGGAUCGAACUCAGGACCUUAUGCUUGCAAGUGUUCCUGUUCUUUCAAUACCAUAGAAUACAACUGAACAUAGAUCCUGGGCCAAUGUGUGGCCAUUCUUACCUGACAACAAACAGAAACAGGCACCCCACUUCUGGAAGAAGGAAGAAAAUAGGGCAGAAAAUGUUUAGGCCAGGGUAGGGCCACAGGAACAAUGCUGACAGGCAACUGUGGAUGCCCAGCUGAGGUACAAAAUGGCUUAGCACAGAAACUCUACAGAAAAUAGGCCUCCAGCCUAAUUUUGAUAUGGAACUAUAUAAAAUGAAGGGUCAUUUCUUUUAAGGAGUAAGCAGAAAAUGAGGGUAACCACUGUGAAGGACCUAAUUUUCUUUAGAGAGUAAUGGAAAAACAUCUCUUUUGUGUUCACAAACAAAUGCCACCUAUGCACCCUCAGGGAGCUGGUCUAGCUAAGAGUUCUAACAGAGGGGCUGAAGGCCAGCACUGCUCUAUCAUAGCUAUAUAGCUACUUCCGGGACAUGAUCAGUUCUUGUGCUACCAAGCCAAAGGUACCGGGGAAGUACAGGAACAACGGAAAAGUCUCUACAGCUUAGGCAAAACCCUUAAAUGUGCUCUCAGGCAAGGAUGCACCAAUUAAGCUAAACCUCAGAGCCAAAGUGUAGACUUUCAAAGGCAAGAAGGCUUCGGCCAAGGGAGCAAUACCACUUGGGGCUCAUUUACAAUAGAAUCCUCAAUUUUGCAUUUUUUUUGAUCCUGAAGGGAUAAGGAAUAUGGUUUCCAGCCCCAUACCACCCCCUCAUUCUGAAUACUCAGACCAUUGUAUUUGAAUCAAAAUAUAAACCCAGGACAGACUGAAUUCUGAGGUACUUUUAAAAGUUCAAUUUUUACAGUUACUAGUUAAUAACUUUCAUCUUCAAAAGGAAUAUCUCAAGCAGAAAAAUUAAGUGUUGACAGAUGACUACUUAUGGAAAAAUACUAUACUGGAAAAAUAAUUUCCUCCUUUCUUCCUUUUU